UAACAAUGAUUCCCCUAGUAACGGCGAGUGAACAGGGAAAAGCUCAAAGUUGGAACCUCCUGGCCCUAGGCCCGGCGGAUUGUAAACUAAAGCUCUCGAGUAGUUCGGCUAGCCUGGUAAAAAAGUUCUCUGGAAAGGGACGACAUGGAGGGUGAAAUCCCCGUCUUUGGCCAGAGCAUAGUCCAACGUUUGCUUGGAAGUGAAGAGUCAGGUUGUUUGGUAUUGCAGCCUAAAGUUGGAGGUAAAUCUCUCCUAAAGCUAAAUAUUGACGAAAGACCGAUAGCGAACAAGUACCGUGAGGGAAAGAUGAAAAGCACUUUGAAAAGAGGGUCAAAAAGUACGUGAAAUUGCUGAAAGGGAACCGUAUGAAAUCAGCUUGUUUUUUUGGUAAUCAACCUGGACCUCGGUCUGGGUGCACUUGCCAGUGAAACAGCCUGCGACAAUUCGAUUCGGAGGAAAAAAUUAUUGGGAAUGUGGCCUCUGCCUUCGGUUGAGGUGUUAUAGCCCUUUAAAAAAUACUCUGGGUUGGAUUGAGGACUGCAGCGAGCUCCCCUCGGGGGGCAUGGGUUGUGGGUGCUUUGCUUUGGUAAAAGGGAAAUCUCUACUUCGGGUAGUGUCUUUUUUAUCGAGGUAAACUCGCCUAUAUUCCCUUUCUCUCGCUUAGGUCGUAGGCAUAAUGAUUUUAUAUGACCCGUCUUGAAACACGGACCAA
rnacentral:rRNA from 1 species